CACCUAUGGUGCAGGCCUACCUCUCCUCUUCUCGUCCUCCGCGGUGCAUGGCGAGGCCCUACCGGAGAACCACAUAGCUCCACGACCACCACGCCAUCGUCCUGCUGGAGUUGCCCCUCAACUUAUCCUCCCUCCUUGCUGGAUCAAGAAGGAGGAGACGUCCCCGGGCUAUAGGUGUGUUGUACGCGAAGACACCGUGCGUUCGGUGUUCGGAUCGGAUCUUCCGCGAUUUGAAUCGCCGCAAGUACGACUCCAUCGUCCGCAUUCAUAGUAACGCUUCCGCUAUGCGAUCUUUAACGGUAUGAAGAUGCUCUACCCCUUUGCUCGUUGCUAGUUUCUCCUAGAUAGAUCCUUGUGUGACGUAGGAUUUUUUUUGAAAUUACUACGUUCCCCAACAGUGGCAUCCGAGCAAGUUUCUAUGCGUAGAUUCUAUGCACGAGUAGAAUACAAAAGUUGUGGGCGAUGAUUUUAUCAACAAGUCUUAUCUUGAUUCGGCGGCAUCAUGGGAUGAAGUGGCCCAGACCGACUUCACACGUACUUUUACGUGAGACUAGUUCCACCUCCCCACAUGCACUUGUUGCAUAAGGUGGCUAGGGGGUGUUUGUCUCUCCCACUUUAGUCGGAUCGGAUUUGAUGAAGAGGGUCCUUAUGAAGGGUAAAUAGCAUUGGCAUAUCAAUGUUGUGGUUGUCACGUAGGUAAGAAGCGUUCUUGCUAGAAACCUAAAUCGGCCACGUAAAACUUGCAACAACAAUUAGAGGACGUCUAACUUGUUUUUGGAGGGUAUGCUAUGUGAUGUGAUAUGGCCAAAAGGAUGUGAUGUAUGAGAUUGAUCAUGUUCUUGUAAUAGGAUUCAUGACUUGCAUGUCGAUGAGUAUGACAACCGGCAGG
rnacentral:lncRNA from 1 species